GACGAACGCUGGCGGCGUGCUUAACACAUGCAAGUCGAACGGAAAGGCCCUGCUUUUGUGGGGUGCUCGAGUGGCGAACGGGUGAGUAACACGUGAGUAACCUGCCCUUGACUUUGGGAUAACUUCAGGAAACUGGGGCUAAUACCGGAUAGGAGCUCCUGCUGCAUGGUGGGGGUUGGAAAGCUUCGGCGGUUGGGGAUGGACUCGCGGCUUAUCAGCUUGUUGGUGGGGUAGCGGCUUACCAAGGCUUUGACGGGUAGCCGGCCUGAGAGGGUGACCGGCCACAUUGGGACUGCGAUACGGCCCAGACUCCUACGGGAGGCAGCAGUGGGGAAUAUUGCACAAUGGGCGGAAGCCUGAUGCAGCAACGCCGCGUGCGGGAUGACGGCCUUCGGGUUGUAAACCGCUUUCGCCUGUGACGAAGCGUGAGUGACGGUAAUGGGUAAAGAAGCACCGGCUAACUACGUG
rnacentral:rRNA from 1 species